AGGAGAAAGCUUACCUCGACAGGAAAGCUUUGGCUGGGAGGAACACAUUGAAGAUACUAACCAUAAACUCAAGAGAAACAAAGAGCCUCCAAAACCAGAAACUGCAUCCAUGGCGGCGCUGCUUCUCCAUGGACAGGCCAUUGUUCCCAUGCAAUUGGUUGCACGUGUUCCUGCUGCUUUAUUUUAUUGGCCUCUAAUCCAACUUGCUGGUGCCGCAACUGAUAAUAUUGCAUUAGGCGUUUCUGUUGGCAGCAAAGGAAGAGGAAAUGUUCCUGGUUCCACCUCUGAUAUACGAGCCACUCUUCUCCUGCUUUUAAUUGGUAAAUGCACAGCAGAUCCUGCGGCUUUUAAAGAAGUUGGUGGGGAGGAAUUCUUUAGAGAGUUGUUGGAUGAUACAGACUCAAGAGUGGCAUAUUACUCUUCAAUGUUUCUUCUGAAGAGGAUGAUGACAGAGGAACCGGAAAAUUACCAACGCAUGCUGCAUAACCUUGUUUCUAGAGCUCAGCAGAGCAACAAUGAAAAACUCCUGGAGAAUCCUUACCUUCAAAUGCGGGGGUUACUUCAUCUGUCAAAUGAAUGACAUAAGCUCUACUUUAUGCAAUCACUAUUUGAAGAAACUUGAUGUUCACUGCUUCUGACAAGCACGGAGCCCAACUACAGGGAAAAGUAUUCCAUGU
rnacentral:misc_RNA from 1 species